GGGUUGUGAGGUUAAGCGACUAAGCGUACACGGUGGAUGCCCUGGCAGUCAGAGGCGAUGAAGGACGUGCUAAUCUGCGAAAAGCGUCGGUAAGGUGAUAUGAACCGUUAUAGCCGGCGAUGUCCGAAUGGGGAAACCCAGUGCAAUUCGUUGCACUAUCGUUAACUGAAUACAUAGGUUAACGAGGCGAACCGGGGGAACUGAAACAUCUAAGUACCCCGAGGAAAAGAAAUCAACCGAGAUUCCCCCAGUAGCGGCGAGCGAACGGGGAGCAGCCCAGAGUCUGAAUCAGCUUGUGUGUUAGUGGAACGGUCUGGAAAGUCCGACGGUACAGGGUGAUAGUCCCGUACACCAAAAUGCACAGGCUGUGAACUCGAAGAGUAGGGCGGGACACGUGGUAUCCUGUCUGAAUAUGGGGGGACCAUCCUCCAAGGCUAAAUACUCCUGACUGACCGAUAGUGAACCAGUACCGUGAGGGAAAGGCGAAAAGAACCCCGGCGAGGGGAGUGAAAAAGAACCUGAAACCGUGUACGUACAAGCAGUGGGAGCACCUUCGGGUGUGACUGCGUACCUUUUGUAUAAUGGGUCAGCGACUUAUAUUCUGUAGCAAGGUUAACCGUAUAGGGGAGCCGCAGGGAAACCGAGUCUUAACUGGGCGUUAAGUUGCAGGGUAUAGACCCGAAACCCGGUGAUCUAGCCAUGGGCAGGUUGAAGGUUGGGUAACACUAACUGGAGGACCGAACCGACUAAUGUUGAAAAAUUAGCGGAUGACUUGUGGCUGGGGGUGAAAGGCCAAUCAAACCGGGAGAUAGCUGGUUCUCCCCGAAAGCUAUUUAGGUAGCGCCUCGUGAA
rnacentral:rRNA from 2 species